GCGCACUGCGACCCCA
rnacentral:rRNA from 1 species